CCUACGGGCGGCAGCAGUGAGGAAUAUUGGUCAAUGGGCGCGAGCCUGAACCAGCCAAGUCGCGUGAGGGAAGACGGUCCUAUGGAUUGUAAACCUCUUUUGUCGGGGAGCAAAAGACGCCACGCGUGGCGUUCCGCGCGUACCCGAAGAAAAAGCAUCGGCUAACUCCGUCCCAGCAGCCGCGGUAAUACGGAGGAUGCGAGCGUUAUCCGGAUUUAUUGGGUUUAAAGGGUGCGCAGGCGGAAGAUCAAGUCAGCGGUAAAAUUGAGAGGCUCAACCUCUUCGAGCCGUUGAAACUGGUUUUCUUGAGUGAGUGAGAGGUAUGCGGAAUGCGUGGUGUAGCGGUGAAAUGCAUAGAUAUCACGCAGAACUCCGAUUGCGAAGGCAGCAUACCGGCGCUCAACUGACGCUCAUGCACGAAAGUGUGGGUAUCGAACAGGAUUAGAUACCCGGGUAGUC
rnacentral:rRNA from 1 species